GUUGAAAGCUCCAACCGUACGAAUAUACCAAAAGAUUGCGGGCCUCGAUUACAUCGAAGAAGAGAACCCAUGAAUAUGCCACCUCCUUUUCUCUCUCUUUAAAAUCUGAAAGUUUCAGCUCAUUAAUUCGAGAAAAUAUUGUUUAUUCAUUCGUGGGAUUUUGGAUGGAGCCGCGCGUGGGAAAUAAGUUCCGGCUCGGACGGAAAAUUGGAAGUGGCUCAUUCGGAGAGAUAUAUUUAGGUAUGUUAGAAUAAAUUGAUUUUUUUCCCACUUUUCUCUGAUUGAAUUUGUGGUUUUUCUUGUAUUUAUUUUUUCAUUUAUUACGAAAAUUGUUUUUAUUUCCUGAAUUAUGCAGGUACUAAUAUACAGACAAAUGAAGAAGUUGCUAUUAAGCUUGUGAGUAUUAGAAGACCUCUUUCUUUUCAUUCUUAAUUUACUUUUACUUAUGGUUUUGUGAUUUUAAUUACCAUCAUAAUUGUGUGCUUUAAAAAAUAUCUGAAAUUGUUAUCUGUUAUUAAAUUCAUCAGUUCUAUUUCUUUUUUUUUUUUUCGUGGAAAGAAUUUGACUUUCUAAUCUUUAGAGAUGUAAGAAAGAGAAUAUGCCUCAUGCAUUUUAUAGCUGACGAAACUUACUGUAGAAUGUCAUUCAUUUGGGGAAUGGUUCAAGUGGAGAAAAGAGGUAAAAUUAUGUCUAUCCCAAUCUCUAUCUCAUUAACAUUUGCGGUCAGGUGGGGCUCCUUCAAGGUUCUUUCCUAUUCAAACUUAUGUGCUGAUAAUCAAAGAUUUCUUUUGUUAAACUUGAAACUUGUGUAGUUUAUGCAGCAGUUGUGGUCAAAUAGUUGCAUGUUCAAUAGUCGAGUCGAAAUGUCAUUUUUAGGAACACGUGAAUUCUUUUUGGACAUUUCUACUUGCUGAUUCCAUGUUCAUUUUUAUCGUGAUCUAGUUACCAUCUUGUUCUCUGUCCCCAAGAUGGUCUUGUGUGGAUGAACAUUGUUAUUUAUGAUUUUGUUGGACGUAAUAGAAAAUGUGGUCAAUAUGGCUUCGAAAAAUUCUAAGUUCUUCCAGAAGCAUUGUCUCAAACCUUGGUUUUUUGGGAGAGGAUGGUUGCUUUAACUUUUUAACACAAGGCAGAAGUUGCAGUUUGGACGUGGCAUGCAAAUCAAUGUUGAUUGUCUAGCAAAAAUGUCAUUCUUGGAAGCUUUUGAAGUACUUUUUAGACAAUGAUAUGUAUUGAUUCUGUUUCCUGUUUUAUUAUGGUCUAGUUAAUGUGGACCUAAGAUGGGUUCGUCUGGAGUUGAAGUUGUUUGUUUAUGGUGAAUGCAAUGUAAAGGGACAUAUGGUCAAUGGAAAAG
rnacentral:lncRNA from 1 species